GAAAUGGAAACAAAGAACAGACCCUCGUCUUCGUUCUCUCCCAAACUCGUACUCGCUCUCAAUCUCUCUUCUUUCAAUCUCUCGACGAAAUCGCGGUAUCUCCCAACCCCACGUUCCUCUCACCAAAACCCUCUCUCACAUACAAAAGAUCAAUGGCUGAAACAAAAACAGGGAGCUCACCUUCAGACCUUCGACGGCGACGACAGCUCAGCUUUAGGGUUUUUUGAUUUGGUCUCUGGUGACCCAGAAGGGGCGUCCCUACAAACUCCUUUCGUGAUCCUCAGAUUUGGAUUGCCUUGUUUAUUGUUGAAUUCGAAAAAAGUGAGAUUUGGAGCACAAGCUUCUUCAUUCAAUGACUGUUACGUUUUUUUCGUUAUGCAGGUCUUGGAAGGAAACCUUAGAUGUUCCAUCGCAAACCAAUGGUAUAACUGGCACAUUCUGGUUGUCAUGCAAUCAAGACCAUUUGGCAUGAUGUUCAAUGAAAGCGGUUGAACAGACAUAGGCUCGUUAGUGUGCAGGCUUUCUUCACAUGUAUCUUGACGUUAUUCAGCUUCCUCUCCCACUCUUCCCUUGGAAUCACUCUCUUUGAUGCCGUCAUUGCCUCAAUUUCUGCUAGCUGACGAAGGGGCAUAUUGAUGAUCUAUCUACUGGUAUCUAUGGUAUGGACUUUCAAAAGAAAUCGUAUGGCUGCUUCUGUUAAAGACAGAAUCAAACUCAACAGGAUUAACCUUCCUUUCUAUACUUGUUCUAGAAGCUCUCUCAAAUCGCAUUUGCACAUGUGCCCGAAUUUUGCUUUUUCUUGUUGCAAUUUGUACCUUGUUGCAUUGUGUAUUUGAUUUAACUCCCUUGGGCCUGCAUUUGAUUGCUUUUUCACAUGUAUGAUGCUUGCAUUAAUCACACUUAAUCUAGAUGGCUUGGCUUGGAAAUUUUCAUGGUUUGCUCGAGCUUGAUUGGAAGAUGAUAAUGAUGUUGUUGUUGUUGUGGAUUUGGAGAAACCAAACUAGUUCAAGAGGUCAAUGCGAGUUUUUUCGGAUCCCGUUAUGUUCUUCUCAAUUUCUGCUAUGGCUUUUGUAACCGGAACAAGGACUGCUGUGAUGUGCUGGAAAACAAAACAGGGUUGUAAUAAAAUGACCAUUUUUGUGUGUAUUAUGCAGGUUCAACAUUCUUAAAUUGGGCAAAGCUAAAACCUUUAAACUGGCCAGAACCAACGGUAGCCAUUUUGCAUAAACAGGAUGUGUAAUCGUAGAAAAAGUGUCAUACGAAGCCUUGGAAUCAAAUGCCUUGUCCAAAUUCUUCAUAAAAUACUUGCGUUCGGAGCGGGAAUGAUAUCCGAAGGUGCCAGCACAGUCUGUUGAACCUGAUUCUUUGGUCUUGAGAAUUAUAGAUGCAAUAAGGUUAGCAUGAGCAGCAUUCGACUCUGCAUUUGUACUUGAUAGGGUCGCACAUGGCAGCAUCAAAAGCAACACCCGAUCAAGCGGAAACCAAAUUAAUUCUAAGCACCAACAGCGAUGUUAUCAGCAAGACCGACUAUUAACUCAGUGCUUAAAUUCAUUGCAGUAGCUUCAACAGCAUGACUUGGACUGCUGAAGGAUUGUGGUUGUCGGUUUCUUGACUUGUUUUGCCUUACGGGUCUUAUUCUGUGUGCUGAUCUGCUGGCCUGAUGCAGGAUGCUGUGUAUAGUGUGAGUCAUGUUGUCCUUUUUCAUGAAAGAUGAAGAAUAGUUUCUUGUUUAAGUUGAAGAUGGUUCCAAGUUUGGUUGUGUGGUUUGGUGAGUUGAAGGAUUUAAGUUGAUGGUUUUAUGGUGAUGUAGAUUGAAGUCGUGUGAGGCGGGUGUUAUAGUAAUAGUGAAGGAUGUAUUAUGAUGCUUUUUUUUGUGUGUAUGAUGCAAUGUAUUUUAGUGGAGAAGAUGAAGAUAUAUUUUUUCACUCUUGGUUGUUGUUUGUUUUUUGGAAAAGAAGAUAUGAUAGUUAUGUUUUUCGUGAAUGUGGUAUAUAAAUGAGGGAGUCUUCCAUGAAAAGUGCAAUAUUGGUAUGGUUAUGAGGAAAAGUUGCAGAGA